rnacentral:rRNA from 1 species
UACAGAGGGUGCGAGCGUUAAUCGGAAUUACUGGGCGUAAAGCGCACGUAGUCGGCUUUGCAAGUCGGGUGUGAAAUCCCCGGGCUCAACCUGGGAACUGCAUCCGAGACUGCAUUGCUAGAGUAUGGGAGAGGGAAGCGGAAUUUCUGGUGUAGCAGUGAAAUGCGCAGAUAUCGGGAGGAACACCAGUGGCGAAGGCGGCACUCUGGGCCGGCACUGACGCUGAGGAGCGAAAGCGUGGGGAGCGAACAGG